rnacentral:rRNA from 1 species
GACAGAGGGGGCAAGCGUUGCUCGGAAUUACUGGGCGUAAAGGGCGCGUAGGCGGGAUGGCAAGUCGGUCGUGAAAUCCCUCGGCUCAACCGAGGAACGUCGAUCGAUACUGCUGUUCUUGAGGAUUGCAGAGGAGACUGGAAUUCCCGGUGUAGCGGUGAAAUGUGUAGAGAUCGGGAGGAACACCGGUGGCGAAGGCGGGUCUCUGGGCCGAUACUGACGCUGAGGAGCGAAAGCGUGGGGAGCGAGCAGG